GGGGUUGGGGGGGGGCUGUGGGGUAAGCAUGGCGUUCCCCCAUUCCCUAUAGGGCCAGGACGGAGCCAAGGGGGAGCGCGGAGAGGAUGGGGAACCUGGAGAGCCGGGCUCUCCGGGUCCGACGGGAGAAAACGGCCCUCCGGGACCCCUGGGAAAAAGGGGACCCGCAGGAUCGCCCGGCCCCGAGGGGCGGCAGGGAGAGAAGGGAGCCAAGGUGAGGGGGGGCGUGGGGGCAUCCCAUAAUGCACCGGGACAUCCCAUAAUGCACAGGG
rnacentral:lncRNA from 1 species